AUGUGGUAUUUGCUUCUUGAAGCCUAAUACAUUAUAGUGAGCCAUAGUUACUACGGGAAGAGAAAGUCCUGCUAAAACAUAAUUUUUAAUGCGCAAUGCCUUGGUUAUUGAAUUUGAAAGAUACAGACAAUCCUGGACAAAACCAUCUGCGACACUCUAUUAAAACAUUCCUUUGUGGCUUUUUUCACCAGUUAGACCGGAAUAAUUUCCUCGUUUGCCCCCCUCCGCCCCCCAAAACAAUGUUGGACGUUUUAUUCGUAUUCUACGAAUCCAAUCAACAUUGAAUGGUGGGGGAAAGGGGGAGGUUUUCUAAAUUUACGAUAACAUUACGAUAUUUUGUCAAGUAUAAUUGGAAGUGUCGCAGAUGUUUUGUCCAGGAUUGUCUGAAAUGAGUCGAAAUUACAUUCUUUUAUAUUUCGCUUGUUAUGCAUGUCCUUGCCAUGUAUUUUGUUUAUGCGCAUUGCUCAUGACCUACUUAUAUUCAUAAUUACAUCAAGUACCUUAUUUCAUUAAUUAAAUACGUCAUGAAUACCUUAGUGUUUUGGAGGGGGUAAUAAUGUGUGGUAGAAUAUACGAUACGGUAUAUUAUUUUUAAUUUAAGCAAUUAAA